AUUGAACGCUGGCGGCAUGCCUUACACAUGCAAGUCGAACGGCAGCAUGGAGCGCUUGCUCUCUGAUGGCGAGUGGCGAACGGGUGAGUAAUGCAUCGGAACGUACCGUGUAUGGGGGAUAACGUAGCGAAAGUUACGCUAAUACCGCAUACGACCUGAGGGUGAAAGCAGGGGAUCGCAAGACCUUGCGUUAUACGAGCGGCCGAUGUCAGAUUAGCUAGUUGGUGAGGUAAAGGCUCACCAAGGCGACGAUCUGUAGCGGGUCUGAGAGGGUGAUGCGCCACACUGGGACUGGGACAGGGCCCAGACUCCUACGGGAGGCAGCAGUGGGGAAUUUUGGACAAUGGGGGCAACCCUGAUCCAGCCAUGCCGCGUGAGUGAAGAAGGCCUUCGGGUUGUAAAGCUCUUUCGGCCGGGAAGAAAUCGCACAGGCUAAUACUCUGUGUGGAUGACGGUACCGGCAUAAGAAGCACCGGCUAACUACGUGCCAGCCGCCGCGGUAA
rnacentral:rRNA from 1 species